AGUGUCCUACGGGGGGCAGCAGUGGGGAAUAUUGGGCAAUGGGCGCAAGCCUGACCCAGCAACGCCGCGUGAAGGAAGAAGGCUUUCGGGUUGUAAACUUCUUUUCUCAGGGACGAAGCAAGUGACGGUACCUGAGGAAUAAGCCACGGCUAACUACGUGCCAGCAGCCGCGGUAAUACGUAGGUGGCAAGCGUUAUCCGGAUUUACUGGGUGUAAAGGGCGUGUAGGCGGGGACGCAAGGCAGAUGUGAAAACCAAGGGCUCAACCUGGGGCCUGGAGUUGAAAGUGUGU
rnacentral:rRNA from 1 species